GACGAACCGUCCAAACGUUAUUCGGAAUCACUGGGCUUACAGAGUUCGUAGGCGGUCUGGAAAGUUGGGUGUGAAAUCCCCUCGGCUUAACCGGGGAACUGCGUCCGAUACUGGAUGGCUUGAGUUCGGGAGAGGGAUGCGGAAUUCCAGGUGUAGCGGUGAAAUGCGUAGAUAUCUGGAGGAACACCGGUGGCGAAGGCGGCAUCCUGGACCGACACUGACGCUGAGGAGCGAAAGCCAGGGGAGCAAACGGGG
rnacentral:rRNA from 1 species